rnacentral:rRNA from 1 species
AACGAACGCUGGCGGCAUGCCUAACACAUGCAAGUCGAACGAGACCGUCGGGUCUGGUGGCGCACGGGGGCGUAACGGGGGGGAACCUGCCCUUAGGUUCGGAAUAACUCCCCGAGAGGGGUGCUAAUAACGGAGAAUGUCUUCGGACCAAAGAUUUGUCGCCUUUGGAUGGGCUCGCGUUGGAUUAGCUAGUUGGUAGGGUAAAAGCCUACCAAGGCGGCGAUCCAUAGCUGGUCUGAGAGGAUGCUCAGCCACACUGGGACUGAGACACGGCCCAGACUCCUACGGGAGGCAGCAGUGGGGACUAUUGGACCAUGGGCGAAAGCCUGAUCCAGCAAUGCCGCGUGAGUGAUGCAGGCCUUAGGGUUGUAAAGCUCUUUUACCCGGGAUGAUAAUGACAGUACCGGGAGAAUAAGCUCCGGCUAACUCCGUG